UACGUAGGGGGCUAGCGUUGUCCGGAAUCAUUGGGCGUAAAGCGCGUGUAGGCGGCCCGGUAAGUCCGCUGUGAAAGUCGGGGGCUCAACCCUCGGAUGCCCGGUGGAGUACUGUCGGGCUCGAGUACGGAAGAGGCGAGUGGAAUUCCUGGUGUAGCGGUGAAAUGCGCAGAUAUCAGGAGGAACACCAAUUGCGAAGGCAGCUCGCUGGGACGUUACUGACGCUGACGACGCGAAGCGUGGGGAGCAAACAGG
rnacentral:rRNA from 1 species